CACGCCGUAAACGAUGUCUACUAGUCGUUGGGUCCCUUGAGGACUUAGUGACGCAGCUAACGCAAUAAGUAGACCGCCUGGGGAGUACGGCCGCAAGGUUAAAACUCAAAUGAAUUGACGGGGGCCCGCACAAGCGGUGGAGCAUGUGGUUUAAUUCGAUGCAACGCGAAGAACCUUACCUGGUCUUGACAUAUCUAGAAUCCUGCAGAGAUGCGGGAGUGCCUUCGGGAAUUAGAAUACAGGUGC
rnacentral:rRNA from 1 species